CCGCGGGGGCGCGCUGUGCGCGGCCGCGCUCUCUGUUACGGUAGGGUUAGAGCUGGUGGUGGCGUCGCCGCUUCUCUGGUCGGUGGCGCGCGUCUGCCUCGGUGGGUUUUGUUUGACUGGCUUUGGGAGGAGUGGGUACCCGAGCACGCGGCCUCUGGGCACUGUCAAACAGGAGAGACGGGAGGGAUCCGGAGGGGUGGAGAGGAAGAAACGGAGAAAAAGGGAAAGGAAGGUGCCGCGAAGCCAGUUCCUGCUUCCUGACUGGUAGAAAAAACACCUUCAGUCAGUGGCGCAGAACCCAGAUGGCCAAGGCCCAGGGAUCUCUUUGAUUUAAGCUGCUUUUAUGCUAGAUUCCCUCAGUGUAAAAGUGUGCAAACAUCAAGGCAAGGCCCCAGGAGGAUUUGGUUAGAAGACAUGGGGCACCUGGGUGGCUCAGUGGGUUAAAGCCUCUGCCUU